rnacentral:rRNA from 1 species
CCUACGGGAGGCAGCAGUGAGGAAUUUUGCGCAAUGGGCGAAAGCCUGACGCAGCGACGCCGCGUGGGGGAAGAAGGCCUUCGGGUUGUAAACCCCUUUCGUGAGGGAAAAAGCCCUGAGUUUAUCGAAGGGUGAUGGUACCUCAGGAAGAAGCCACGGCUAACUCUGUGCCAGCAGCCGCGGUAAGACAGAGGUGGCAAGCGUUGUUCGGAAUUACUGGGCUUAAAGGGCGUGUAGGCGUCCCAACAAGUCAGUGGUGGAAGCCUUAGGCUUAACCUAAGAAUUGCAUUUGAAACAAGUGGGAUUGAGUGGGACAGGGGAGGGAGGAAUUCCUGGUGUAGGGGUGAAAUGCGUAGAGAUCAGGAGGAACAC